rnacentral:misc_RNA from 1 species
UCGAACACACGAGGAGGGGACUGUCGCUGGCUUCGGCAUGUGCACGUCCUUUUCUCGCCUCACCCCACACUUGUGCACCUUCUGUAGGCCCUCGAAAGAGGGUCUACGUCUUCCAUUCACACCGAUCGCAUGUCCAUAGAAUGUCAUAAUUAAAUA